AACGAACGCUGGCGGCGUGUUUAAGACAUGCAAGUCGCACGGUGUCAUUUUGGUAGCAAUACUUGAAUGGCAUAGUGGCGCACGGGUGAGUAACACGUGAAUUACAUGCCCUGUAGAGGGGGAUAGCCCAGGGAAACUUGGAUUAAUACCCCAUGGUCUCGCAAGAGUAAAGGUGGCCGCAAGGCUGUCGCUACAGGAUUGGUUCGCGCCCUAUCAGCUAGUUGGCGGGGUAACGGCCCACCAAGGCUACGACGGGUACCUGGUCUGAGAGGACGAUCAGGCACACUGGAACUGAGACACGGUCCAGACACCUACGGGUGGCAGCAGUCGAGAAUAAUUCACAAUGGGGGCAACCCUGAUGGUGCAACGCCGCGUGGAGGAUGACGGUCUUCGGAUUGUAAACUCCUGUCAUCCGGGAGUAAGACCUGGGCAUGAAUAGUGCACAGGGUUGAUAGUACCGGAAGAGGAAGGGACGGCUAACUUCGUGCCAGCAGCCGCCGCCGUAA
rnacentral:rRNA from 1 species